CCUACGGGAGGCAGCAGUGGGGAAUAUUGCACAAUGGGGGAAACCCUGAUGCAGCGACGCCGCGUGAGUGAAGAAGUAACUCGGUGUGUAAAGCUCUAUCAGCAGGGAAGAAAAUGACGGUACCUGAUUAAGAAGCCCCGGCUAACUACGUGCCAGCAGCCGCGGUAAUACGUAGGGGGCAAGCGUUAUCCGGAUUUACUGGGUGUAAAGGGGGCGUAGACGGCAGUGCAAGUCUGGAGUGAAAGGCGGGGGCCCAACCCCGGGACUGCUCUGGAAACUGUACGGCUGGAGUGCAGGAGGGGUAGGUGGAAUUCCUGGUGUAGCGGUGAAAUGCGUAGAUAUUAGGAGGAACACCAGUGGCGAAGGCGGCCUACUGGACUGUAACUGACGUUGAGGCCCGAAAGCGUGGGGAGCAAACAGGAUUAGAUACCCCUGUAGUC
rnacentral:rRNA from 1 species